rnacentral:lncRNA from 1 species
GACAUAGCACCUGCGGCAUUAGGAUUCUAAGAUUUAGGAGGGGAAGGCUGAGGAGAGGGAUCACAUGCAUUGAAGCAAUCUCAAGAUUCAGAAACGAUCAAAAUAAUGGUGAGGGAGAAGAAAGAGAGGAGAGUCACGAAAAUGGAGAGGGACAUUAAAGGGGAAAAGUGAGCAAAGAGAUAUAUAAAUAUAUUAGACACUUCUACUUCGUUUUCUUGUUUAGAUACAUUACAUCAGUCAUUGAACAUGGGCAGAUACCUAUAAGGACCCCAUUUCAUUGACCUUCGCCCUUUUAUAUCCCUCGUUAAGAGAUGUUAUCCGGACCAACUCCCACGCAGAAAACCAAGAGCAGUUAGAAUCGCGUAGCUGCGUGCCCCUUUUUCUGACUAGCUUCUUGUGAAAAGCAUUUCAGGCACGAGCACACCUGAUGAACUCGGAAACCUACUAUGGAAUCAAUCAACCCAUCGCACCCGAGUGCUUGCUCUCCAAGCUCUGCGCAUGUGUUUUUACAUUAAAAUCCCCGAACGAUUUUAUGCUAUCAAAGUAGGUGGAUUGGUCUGUGGUGCUCACUAAACCUGCUAUCGGACGGGAUCAGACAUAGGUCUUAGAUGAUCUCGAUCUUGAAGAAAGCAUAACUAAUGUCAUUUUAAGAGAAAGAUGGCACUAUGGAUUGAAGGUAGCUUUU